rnacentral:SRP_RNA from 1 species
UGCUGGGUCUUGCGCGGCGGAAGACUUCGAACCCCGCCAGGACCGAGAGGUAGCAACGGUAAGGAGACCCUUUUGGGUGUCGCAGGGUGCCUGGCAACA